CCUACGGGCGGCAGCAGUGAGGAAUAUUGGUCAAUGGGCGCGAGCCUGAACCAGCCAAGUAGCGUGAAGGAUGACUGCCCUACGGGUUGUAAACUUCUUUUAUAAAGGAAUAAAGUGAGGCAAGUGUGCCUGUUUGGAUGUACUAUAUGAAUAAGGAGCGGCUAACUCCGUGCCAGCAGCCGCGGUAAUACGGAGGAGCCGAGCGUUAUGCGGAUUUAUUGGGUUUAAAGGGGGCGUAGGCUGUGAGGGAAGUCAGCGGUGAAAUGCCCCCGCUCAACGGGGUGAAGUGCCAUUGAUACUGCCUUGCUGGAAUGCGGAUGCCGUGGGAGGAAUGUGUGGUGUAGCGGUGAAAUGCAUAGAUAUCACACAGAACACCGAUUGCGAAGGCAUCUCACGAAUCCGCGAUUGACGCUGAUGCACGAAAGCGUGGGUAUCAAACAGGAUUAGAUACCCCAGUAGUC
rnacentral:rRNA from 1 species